UACGUAGGUGGCGAGCGUUGUCCGGAUUUACUGGGCGUAAAGGGAGCGUAGGCGGACUUUUAAGUGAGAUGUGAAAUACCCGGGCUCAACUUGGGUGCUGCAUUUCAAACUGGAAGUCUAGAGUGCAGGAGAGGAGAAUGGAAUUCCUAGUGUAGCGGUGAAAUGCGUAGAGAUUAGGAAGAACACCAGUGGCGAAGGCGAUUCUCUGGACUGUAACUGACGCUGAGGCUCGAAAGCGUGGGGAGCAAACAGGAUUAGAUACCCGCGUA
rnacentral:rRNA from 1 species